rnacentral:rRNA from 1 species
AGGGGAUGAGUUGUGGAUAGGGGUGAAAGGCCAAUCAAACACCGUGAUAGCUGGUUCUCCCCGAAAUGCAUUUAGGUGCAGCGUUGCGUGUUUCUUGCCGGAGGUAGAGCUACUGGAUGGCCGAUGGGCCCUACAAGGUUACUGACGUCAGCCAAACUCCGAAUGCCGGUAAGUGAGAGCGCAGCAGUGAGACUGUGGGGGAUAAGCUUCAUAGUCGAGAGGGAAACAGCCCAGAUCAUCAGCUAAGGCCCCUAAGUGGUGACUCAGUGGGAAAGGAUGUGGAGUUGCGUAGACAACCAGGAGGUUGGCUUGGAAGCAGCCAUCCUUGAAAGAGUGCGUAAUAGCUCACUGGUCAAGUGAUUCCGCGCCGAUAAUGUAGCGGGGCUUAAG